AGUGAACGCUGGCGGUAGGCCUAACACAUGCCAGUCGAACGGCAGCACAGUAAGAGCUUGCUCUUACGGGUGGCGAGUGGCGGACGGGUGAGGAAUACAUCGGAAUCUACUUUUUCGUGGGGGAUAACGUAGGGAAACUUACGCUAAUACCGCAUACGACCUACGGGUGAAAGCAGGGGAUCUUCGGACCUUGCGCGAUUGAAUGAGCCGAUGUCGGAUUAGCUAGUUGGCGGGGUAAAGGCCCACCAAGGCGACGAUCCGUAGCUGGUCUGAGAGGAUGAUCAGCCAGACUGGAACUGAGACACGGUCCAGACUCCUACGGGAGGCAGCAGUGGGGAAUAUUGGACAAUGGGCGAAAGCCUGAUCCAGCCAUACCGCGUGGGUGAAGAAGGCCUUCGGGUUGUAAAGCCCUUUUGUUGGGAAAGAAAAGCAGCAGGUUAAUACCCCGCUGUUCUGACGGUACCCAAAGAAUAAGCACCGGCUAACUUCGUG
rnacentral:rRNA from 1 species